UUGACUUGUCAAAGGUAAGGUUUUGUAAAUUACUUGAUGGUGAGCUCUGAUUCGUACCUACUAUUAUUGGAUAUAAAUCGAACAUUUGAAUUGAUUGCAUUCUACUAUUGCGAAAAGAUGGAAACUCGUCAAAAUGAGAUUAUUUUACUCUAUGGAACAAACGAAGUUGUGAGAAAUAGAAAAAAAAAACGGUGCCUGGACAUGGUGCAAUGCCAAAAAUCGUCAUCAAUGACACUGACAGGAUGUGUGAAUGACCUUGACCUACCUUGACCACGACGAGAGGAAACACGAGGACGUCUCUACGCCGGGCUGCCGUAAACACCUCAAGAGUUUUUUUUUUUUGUAUUGGGCGAACUGGUUUAUGUGCAACACGGCGGGUUGCACCGUCAUAGCUGAUUGUUUAAGUGAGUUAUAUUUUCUUCAGAAAUGAUCCAUGAUAAGUUCCUGGGAUCCGUGUCCCAUUUAAAUUCUCUAAAAUAUAAGAAUUUGUACCAAGAA